rfam:Aedes albopictus isolate Foshan contig12066, whole genome shotgun sequence.
AAAACGGUCCUUUUCAGGACUACCAAACGGUCCUUUUCAAGAAAAG